rnacentral:rRNA from 1 species
CAGCAGCCGCGGUAAUACGUAGGGUGCGAGCGUUAAUCGGAUUUACUGGGCGUAAAGCGUGCGCAGGCGGUCCGUUAAGACAGGUGUGAAAUCCCUGGGCUCAACCUAGGAAUUGCGCUUGUGACUGGCGGGCUCGAGUACGGUAGAGGGUGGUGGAAUUCCUGGUGUAGCAGUGAAAUGCGUAGAGAUCAGGAGGAACACCGAUGGCGAAGGCAGCCCCCUGGGCCUGUACUGACGCUCAUGCACGAAAGCGUGGGGAGCAAACAGGAUUAGAUACCCUGGUAGUCCACGCCCUAAACGAUGGGUACUAGCCGUUUGGUGCGCGAUAGCGCUGAGUGGCGAAGCUAACGCGAGAAGUACCCCGCCUGGGGAGUACGGCCGCAAGGUUGAAACUUAAAGGAAUUGGCGGG